GGGGAGUAUCGGUCGCAAGAUUAAAACUCAAAGGAAUUGACGGGGGGGCCCGCACAAGCGGUGGAGCAUGUGGUUUAAUUCGAAAGCAACCGCGCAGAACCUUACCAACCCCUUGACAUCCCUGAUCGCGGUUACCAGAGAUGGUUUCCUUCAGUUCGGCUGGAUCAGUGACAGGUGCUGCAUGGCCGUCGUCAGCUCGUGUCGUGAGAUGUUCGGUUAAGUCCGGCAACGAGCGCAACCCACAUCUUUUAGUUGCCAGCAGGUUAAGCUGGGCACUCUAAAGAAACUGCCCGUGAUAAGCGGGAGGAAGGUGUGGAUGACGUCAAGUCCUCAUGGCCCUUACGGGUUGGGCUACACACGUGCUACAAUGGUAGUGACAAUGGGUUAAUCCCAAAAAACUAUCUCAGUUCGGAUUGGGGUCUGCAACUCGACCCCAUGAAGUCGGAAUCGCUAGUAAUCGCGUAACAGCAUGACGCGGUGAAUACGUUCCCGGGCCUUGUACACACCGCCCGUCACAUCAUGGGAAUUGGCUCUACCCGAAGACGC
rnacentral:rRNA from 1 species